UACGUAGGGGGCAAGCGUUGUCCGGAUUUAUUGGGCGUAAAGAGCGUGUAGGCGGCUAGAUAGGUCCGUUGUGAAAACUCGAGGCUCAACCUCGAGACGCCGGUGGAAACCAUCUAGCUAGAGUCCGGAAGAGGAGAGUGGAAUUCCUGGUGUAGCGGUGAAAUGCGCAGAUAUCAGGAAGAACACCCGUGGCGAAGGCGGCUCUCUGGUACGUGACUGACGCUGAGGAGCGAAAGUGUGGGGAGCGAACAGG
rnacentral:rRNA from 1 species